rnacentral:misc_RNA from 1 species
GAUGAAGAACGCAGCGAAAUGCGAUACGUAAUGUGAAUUGCAGAAUUCAGUGAAUCAUCGAGUCUUUGAACGCACAUUGCGCCCCCUGGUAUUCCGGGGGGCAUGCCUGUCCGAGCGUCAUUGCUGCCCUCAAGCACGGCUUGUGUGUUGGGCCUCCGUCCUCCUCCCGGGGGACGGGCCCGGAAGGCAGCGGCGGCACCGCGUCCGGUCCUCGAGCGUAUGGGGCUUCGUCACCCGCUCUUGUAGGCCCGGUCGGCGCUUGCCGACACAUCAAUCUUUUUUCCAGGUUGACCUCGGAUCAGGUAGGGAUACCCGCUGAACUUAAGCAUAUCAAUAAGCGGAGGA